AUGUUUUUUCCCCUUUGCAAUAUGGGUUGUGAAAUGAAGACUUCUGCAACAGAGAGGAAAUCCGUGUGGGCCAGCAGUAAGGGCAACAAAACCCACAGCCAUGCCAGUUCCCAGUCAUCCUCAGGAUUUCAUGAACUUCAUCCAGAACAAAGCAGGAGAGUCCCCUGGGCAGUGCAAACAGUGCUCUCGUUGGCUGUUAGUACAGAGGCAAUUUCAGUCCCAUCAUCUCUGAAAGACUGGGCUUCUCUGGUGUCCGUGGGAGCAGAGGUCCCACUCCAGAGGAAGAAGAAGUACUUGGGACUGUGUGGGGAUGAGAAUACAUCUGACAAGCAGGCUCUGGGCCAUGUAGCAAGACAGAGUAUGGGGCUUGUUCCCCUUUAUUUUCUUUCAUAACCACCCAGGAGAAAUAUCUGUUAUUUUUUUUCAGGGGAUUAAUAUCUGAAAUGGGUUAAUUCUACAGUACAUGCCCUGCCUAUGAAGCAUAAUAGGAAAUCCUCC
rnacentral:lncRNA from 1 species